UACAGAGGUGGCAAGCGUUGUUCGGAAUUACUGGGCGUAAAGGGCGCGUAGGCGGUUCGAUAAGUCCCGUGUGAAAUCCCUCGGCUCAACUGAGGAAUGGCACGGGGAAACUGACGGGCUUGAGUUCGGGAGAGGGAAGCGGAAUUCCGGGUGUAGCGGUGAAAUGCGUAGAUAUCCGGAGGAACACCCGUGGCGAAGGCGGCUCCUCG
rnacentral:rRNA from 1 species